rnacentral:rRNA from 1 species
UGGGGAAUCUUGGACAAUGGGGGCAACCCUGAUCCAGCCAUGCCGCGUGAGUGAUGAAGGCCUUAGGGUCGUAAAGCUCUUUCGCCUGUGAAGAUAAUGACGGUAGCAGGUAAAGAAACCCCGGCUAACUCCGUGCCAGCAGCCGCGGUAAUACGGAGGGGGUUAGCGUUGUUCGGAAUUACUGGGCGUAAAGCGCACGUAGGCGGACCAGAAAGUUGGGGGUGAAAUCCCGGGGGCUCAACCCCGGAACUGCCUCCAAAACUAUUGGUCUAGAGUUCGAGAGAGGUGAGUGGAAUUCCAAGUGUAGAGGUGAAAUUCGUAGAUAUUUGGAGGAACACCAGUGGCGAAGGCGGCUCACUGGCUCGAUACUGACGCUGAGGUGCGAAAGUGUGGGGAGCAAACAGGAUUAGAUACCCUGGUAGUCCACACCGUAAAACGAUGAAUGCCAGUCGUCGGGUAGCAUGCUAUUCGGUGACACACCUAACGGAUUAAGCAUUCCGCCUGGGGAGUACGG